rnacentral:rRNA from 1 species
GAUGAACGCUGGCGGCGUGCCUAAUACAUGCAAGUCGAGCGAACAGACGAGGAGCUUGCUCCUCUGACGUUAGCGGCGGACGGGUGAGUAACACGUGGAUAACCUACCUAUAAGACUGGGAUAACUUCGGGAAACCGGAGCUAAUUCCGGAUAAUAUAUUGAACCGCAUGGUUCAAUAGUGAAAGACGGUUUUGCUGUCACUUAUAGAUGGAUCCGCGCCGCAUUAGCUAGUUGGUAAGGUAACGGCUUACCAAGGCAACAAUGCGUAGCCGACCUGAGAGGGUGAUCGGCCACACUGGAACUGAGACACGGUCCAGACUCCUACGGGAGGCAGCAGUAGGGAAUCUUCCGCAAUGGGCGAAAGCCUGACGGAGCAACGCCGCGUGAGUGAUGAAGGUCUUCGGAUCGUAAAACUCUGUUAUUAGGGAAGAACAAAUGUGUAAGUAACUAUGCACGUCUUGACGGUACCUAAUCAGAAAGCCACGGCUAACUACGUG